rnacentral:SRP_RNA from 2 species
GACCGGAUCCCGUGCGGCGUCCAUCUCGCGAACUCCCCCAGGGCAGGAAUGCAGCAAGGGUCAGUGAGCUCUGACGGGUGCGCGGGGUCCUUCGACU